UUCUACAUACUUCCUCCGUUCCAUAAUACUUGCUACAUAUUCCAUUUUUGGAAAUUUCAUAAUACUUGCUACAUUUCCAUUUUUGGUAAUAAAACAAUCAUUUAAAAUUCUACCUACCCCUACUUUUAUCCUACUCUAUACCUCUCUAACUUUUUUACCUACAAUUAUUUAAUCUUUAUUUAUUUCCAAUUAAAAUUAAUUUUCCCUCCAUAUUUAUUAUUCUCAUUAAAAACUCAACUAAUCUCCCAUAACCCACCAUCCCAAUUAAUUAUUUCCUCUAUUUAAAUACACUAUCUCAAUUAAUUAUUUCUCCCAUUUAAACAAACCUUUCCAACUACUUAUAUUAAUGGUGGGAUGAAUGUGAACCGUUGGAUUUGGUUUGCCCAGAUCUGACCGUUGAUUGCUCUUUAUAUAAGUAACCCGGUUCCUUUCCUAACCCUAAUCCCAUUUCUCUUCCUUUGCCAUUUUCCCCUCUCCAUCUCUCUCAUUCUCUCUGGAAAGUUCUAACCCUAAAGAUCUUUGGUUUUCUUUCAUUUCUUUGCCGUCUCUGAUUUCAUUAUUUGGGUUUUCUUUCACUAUUGACUACGAAAGGAUGGAUUAUAUCUGGUUUUAUUUCUGAUCUUUGGUUUUGUAUUUGAUUAAAGGUUUACAUUUGGGUUUUCCGAAAUUUCUCUAUUUCUUCUGGUAUAUUCUUUAUACACUUUGCUUUAAUCGUCAUCUGGUAUGCUUUGAUCCUAAAAUCUUGAUUCUUAUUGCAUAUUCUUCGUAUUUUGAUUUUUUUAAAACUUUGAUCUGCUUUUUUUUUUUUUUUAAUUUCAUGUGUAUGUUUAUACGUUUAUGAUUUUGUUUUUGUUAUUCUCUUGAUUAUUUCUUUCAGCUGUAUUUAAUCCCAAAUUCAUGAUCUUGUUUUAGUCCUUCAUCAGAUCUGGUUUCUUUAAUGAUUCUCUUGCAUGUUCUGUCUAUUUUGAUAUUUUUAAACUAAGAUCUGCUCUGUUUUUUUUUAUUUCAUGUUUAUUUUUAUACGUUUAUGAUUUUGUUUUUGUUAUUCUCUUGAUUAUUUCUUUCAGCUGUAUUUAAUCCCAAAUUCAUGAUCUUGUUUUAGUCCUUCAUCAGAUCUGGUUUCUUUAAUGAUUCUCUUGCAUGUUCUGUCUAUUUUGAUAUUUUUAAACUAAGAUCUGCUCUGUUUUUUUUUAUUUCAUGUUUAUUUUUAUACGUUUAUGAUUUUGUUUUUGUUAUUCUCUUGAUUAUUUCUUUAAGCUGUAUUUAAUCCCAGAUUCAUGAUCUUAUUUUAGUCCUUCAUCAGAUCUGGUUUCUUUAAUGAUUCUCUUGCAUGUUCUUUUUACUCUUUGCUUUCAUCUGGUAUGAUUUGAUCCGAAAAUCAUGAUCUAGUUUUAGUACUUUAUCAGAUCUGGUUUGAUUUAUGAUAUUGUUGCAUGUUGUUCUUAUUUCGAUUUAUUUAAUGUUGGAUCUGAUCUCUUUUUUUGUUUUCUCAUGUUUAUUUUAAUUUGAUUAUGAUUUUGAUUCUGUUUUUUUUUUUUGAUUAUGGUUUUGGUUUGUUUUAAAUUACGAAAACGAUGAUGUGGUUGUAGCAGUCGAUGAGAUCUGUUUUGAUUAAUGAUUCUCUUGCAUGUUCAUUUUUUGAUAUUUUUAAACUUUGAUCUGCUCUUAUUUUUUUUAUUUAAUGUUUAUUUGUAAUACGUUUAUGAUAUUGAUUUUGUUAUUUUUUUGAUUAUGUUUUUGAGCUGUUUUUAAUCCCAAAAUCAAGAUCUGGUUUUAGUCCUUCACCAGAUCUGGUUUGAAAUAUGAUGUUGUAUGAUCUUGUUUUUUUAAACUUUGAUUUAAACUUUGAUCUAUUACUAAUGAUAAGAUUUUUAUUAUGUGUACUUCCUCUGUUAUGUUUUUGUUGCUACUUAAGAUUAUUAAGAAGAUGGACACAAAGGAAAAAGCGUGCGACUCAUUAGAAUCCCAAAGAGAAUGUAAAAAAUACGAUAAUAUCUUUGGUUCGUGGUACGAUCAUUAUUAUUUGAAAUGUUGGGAAUUAAAUUGUGUUGAAGAUCCUGAUCAAGAACCCCCACCUUGGUACUACGGUUUACCAGAUGAGGAGGAUUAUGCAUUAAUCGAUAAGGUGCAACCUAAGCAAAAGAGGCCACGCAAGACGACAAUUUGUGAGUUGAUGAAAGAAAUAGGUUUGGAUCCAAAUUCUUAUGAACUUUUUAAAAGGGGAGGACAACAGAUGAAGAAAUUGAAAUGAAGAAGUGUUGAAAAUUUUAAUGCUGACUAUAGAAGAAUUUGAUCUAUUUAUAGAAGAUGAAAUGUGUUAAUGCUGACUUUUGUGUAAAAAUUUUAACUUUUGCUGAUAAUUUGUAAUAUUGGAGGGAAUUAUUUGGGUGGGAAAAUAUUUUUUGGGGGGAAAUGAAACUGACAUGUAAAUUAAUCUGCAAAAUAUUUACCUAAUCUUAACUA